UGGAGUAACCUGGAGUAAAGUAUCUUGCUCAAGGACAGAUCGAACUGGCUGCGGAGAUCGAACCAGCAACCUUUUGCUUACCAGCUCAGUGGUUUAACCACUAUACCACAAAAGUAGUCAUGCUCAUGGAGAGCACAUGAAUGUUUGGAGCAGACACAGCAGCAGCCAGAUUGUCCCGCACAUCUUCUCCCACUCUUGCUUCAAGGUUGUGGGGUUCAGGGGUCAUGAUGGUCUUCCUCAUCCUCUGGAUCAACAGUGUCCCCAUUGAGAAGAGCAGCAGUGAGGGACAUGAUGAAUGGCAAAGACAGGUGCAGGUGUUCACGGUGGUCAGCUGCUUCUUCAAAAUAAAGCUGCAGAAUGGGCACAGCUGUGUUGAGAUGGCAGCAGGACUGUAAAUACAUGAUUGUUAGAACAAUAAGUUUGAAUAAAGCUUUGUUUCAUG